rnacentral:rRNA from 1 species
UUCGGGUUGAUCCUGCCGGACCCGGAUUGCUAUUUGGGUGAGAAUAAGCCAUGCGAGUUGAAUGGAAUACCUAAAAUUUUUCAUAGCGAACUGCUCAGUAACACAUGAUCAACUUACCCUAUAGAGAAAAAUAACCUCGGGAAACUGAGGAUAAUAUUUCAUAGUUGAAAAGGCUUGGAAAAGUUUUUCAAUCAAAGGGAUAAAAAUAAUGGUUUUUAUCUGCUAUAGGAUAGGAUCGUGGACGAUUAUGGUUGUUGGUGAGGUAAAGGCUCACCAAGCCGAUAAUCGAUAGGGGCCGUGAGAGCGGGAGCCCCGAGAUGGGUACUGAGACAACGACCCAGGCCUUACGAGGCGCAGCAGGCGCGGAACCUCCACAAUACACGAAAGUGUGAUGGGGUUACCCAAAGUGUUCAAUUUUGAACUGUGGUAGGUGAGUAAUGUUCCCUACUAGAAAGGAGAGGGCAAGGCUGGUGCCAGCCGCCGCGGUAAAACCAGCUCUUCAAGUGGUCGGGAUAUUUAUUGGGCUUAAAGUGUCCGUAGCCGGUUUAGUAAGUUCCUGGUAAAAUCGGGUAGCUUAACUAUCUGUAUGCUAGGAAUACUGCUAUACUAGAGGGCGGGAGAGGUCUGAGGUACUACAGGGGUAGGGGUGAAAUCUUAUAAUCCUUGUAGGACCACCAGUGGCGAAGGCGUCAGACUGGAACGCGCCUGACGGUGAGGGACGAAAGCCAGGGGAGCGAACCGGAUUAGAUACCCGGGUAGUCCUGGCCGUAAACGAUGCAUACUAGGUGAUGGUAUGGCCAUGAGCCAUAUCAGUGCCGUAGGGAAACCGUUAAGUGUGCCGCCUGGGAAGUACGGUCGCAAGGCUAAAACUUAAAGGAAUUGGCGGGGGAGCACCACAAGGGGUGAAGCCUGCGGUUCAAUUGGAGUCAACGCCGGAAA